GACGAACGCUGGCGGCGUGCCUAAUACAUGCAAGUCGAACGCUUCUUUCCUCCCGAGUUCUUGCACUCAAUUGGAAAGAGGAGUGGCGGACGGGUUAGUAACACGUGGGUAACCUACCCAUCAGAGGGGGAUAACACUUGGAAACAGUUGCUAAUACCGCAUAACAGUUUAUGCCGCAUGGCAUCAGAGUGAAAGGCGCUGUCGGGUGUCGCUGAUGGAUGGACCCGCGGUGCAUUAGCUAGUUGGCGAGGUAACGGCUCACCAAGGCCACGAUGCAUAGCCGACCUGAGAGGGUGAUCGGCCACACUGGGACUGAGACACGGCCCAGACUCCUACGGGAGGCAGCAGUAGGGAAUCUUCGGCAAUGGGCGAAAGUCUGACCGAGCAACGCCGCGUGAGUGAAGAAGGUUUUCGGAUCGUAAAACUCUGUUGUUAGGGAAGAACAAGGGCGUGAGUAACUGAACGUCCCCUGACGGUAUCUAACCAGAAAGCCACGGCUAACUACGUG
rnacentral:rRNA from 1 species